UGAGAGGUCAGUGAGGACAGAAAAAGCGUGUGGUGUAGAGAUGUGAACAAGAUGUUUGUGGACCCCUAUUCGAAGCUUCGUAUGGUUUUGUUGCGCGCCAAGGUGUCUGGUGUGUGUGCUGCCGGCAACGCUGGUGAAGACUGUGGCACCAGGCUCAGACAUGCAGACACAAGCAAUAGAAAGAAGAAGGAAAAACAAAGCAGUAGGAC